rnacentral:rRNA from 1 species
UAGGGAAUCUUCCACAAUGGGCGUAAGCCUGAUGGAGCAACGCCGCGUGUGUGAUGAAGGGUUUCGGCUCGUAAAACACUGUUGUAAGAGAAGAAUGACAUUGAGAGUAACUGUUCAAUGUGUGACGGUAUCUUACCAGAAAGGAACGGCUAAAUACGUGCCAG